GGCCGAGUCAUCGACGACGAGUCACACUCUCCUCGUGUGGUAAGCGUCGCUUCUCUCUCCCAACGCUGCUGCCAUGGAAAAUACAUUCGUAUUAGUCGUGUCAUUUAAUUGCUAGUAUUGUGACGUAGUAUUACGUGUAAAAAAAAAUAUAUGUUUCUGUUCCGUCGAUAUAUAUAUAUACACAUUAUUCGUCGUAUGGGGAAUACCCCGGAUGACGGAUGGCGAAGAGCAUAAAAUGUAUAAAUGUUUGAUUGAGGCGUAAGAUACUUCACUGCUAAUAUACUAUAUUUCCGUGGCGAGACGCAUCAUCGAAAUAAGAAUGAAAAAACUAAUAUUAUGACGUCUCUAACAAAAUGAUAAUGCCGAGGAGCAGCCACAGCGAGGGGUGAAAAAAUACUUGGAGCAUAGAGGAUUGUGUGUACCACCUGGUCUCACCUUUGUACAAUGGACAAGUGCAACGACGCGUGUGUCAGACCUCUCUCAUGCUUCGUCUUUUUAUUCCUCUUUCCGUACAUUUCUCGUUCUCUCUCUUUCUCCCUUUUUCACAUCGGAGGGGCGAGGGAGAAGGAGGAGGAGGAGGAGUAACCAGUUUAAAAAAGAUCGUAAGGUGGACUCUUGGACGACAAUGCUCGCACACAGGCCAAAGCCCCCAACGAGGGUAUAUAUCCGUCGCCAAGGAAGAAACGAGAUCGGUAAGAAUGGGACUCGGAUUUGAGAGCCAAAGAGAGACGGAGAGAAACAAAGAAUUUCCGUAGGUGUAUGUGAAUUCGCGUGUGUAUCCUAGUCGGUCAUACGGCAAACCUUAUUUUUUCUUUCAAACUAAAUCAAGCAAUGACCUUGCACUUCAACCCAAGCUCUUUUAUCCGAUUGUUUCUCUUUUUCAUCUGUUCCGCUCGGUUGUUACUCGCGCUCUCUUUCAACUUGUUUGAACGCGCGCUCGCAAUGUACCUUAAAUAUUCCAAUGAAACAAAUAUGAAAUGACAAUGAGUCGAGGAAAUUUGUAAAUUUGCGAUUCUAUUGCGAUUGGAGGAUGGACGAGCAGUCGAUAGACAAACAAUAAAUCGAGGUAAAACCGUCGAAAUUUUCUUUAAUUUUAUUUAUCAAGAUCAACGAUCAAAGCCAAACUUCUUGCUUCGUCAAAAUUGAUAAAACGAAUUUUAUCUGUAAUGAAAAAUCAUAAAAAUUAGUUACAUGCGCGCAAUCUCAAAAUCCAAUAUUCAUCGUAUCAUCCAAUUCGCGUAUCUCCGCCGUUCGAGUAUCAUAUCAUAAAUGAUACUCCGAAUCAGGAGGGAAAUAUAUAUUUUUUUGUCAACGCUCGUGCGUCUUCUACUUCGAGUGUGACGAAAUAAAAUAUCGAUUUUUUUGCUAUCACCUUAAUUUACAUAUGUUAAUUUGUUUACUCACCACCUGGCAAUGCGCGUGACUA
rnacentral:lncRNA from 1 species